rnacentral:rRNA from 1 species
GACGAACGCUGGCGGCGUGCUUAACACAUGCAAGUCGAACGGAAAGGCCCAGCUUGCUGGGUGCUCGAGUGGCGAACGGGUGAGUAACACGUGGGUGAUCUGCCUCUAACUUCGGGAUAAGCUUGGGAAACUGGGUCUAAUACCGGAUAGGACAAUCGUUUAGUGUCGGUUGUGGAAAGUUUUUUCGGUUAGGGAUGAGCCCGCGGCCUAUCAGCUUGUUGGUGGGGUAAUGGCCUACCAAGGCGUCGACGGGUAGCCGGCCUGGGAGGGUGGACGGCCACAUUGGGACUGAGAUACGGCCCAGACUCCUACGUGAGGCAGCAGUGGGGAAUAUUGCACAAUGGGCGCAAGCCUGAUGCAGCGACGCCGCGUGGGGGAUGACGGCCUUCGGGUUGUAAACCUCUUUCGACAGGGACGAAGCUUUGGUGACGGUACCUGUAUAAGAAGCACCGGCUAACUACGUG